rnacentral:lncRNA from 1 species
ACUCUCUGAGUAAGGGGAGCCUCCCACCUGCUUACCUGGCCAAUUGUUCGAUUACCUCUUAUGAAGAGAUCAAGUUGCAAACACUAAGACCUGAUUAACCAAUAUUAAGUCAAUAGGUCUUCCACUGUAGUAGAGCUGCUAAGGCCUUUCUGAUGUUGAUUUGCCUCGGCUGGACACAGUGGUCAAGUUGCAUCGAGGGGCUGGACCUCUCUAUAGACAUGAGAUGUUGUAGGGUAAAGGUGGGGUUGGGCACCAAUAACUGUUAGGUGAGGACCCAAUGACGACUUUAUUCCUACGGUUAUACGGUGGGUCUGACUUAACUAAGAAAUGGGACCAAUAACUGUUAGGUGAGGUUUUCAUGGCUUAGAGACCAAGUUGUACUGCAACAUGCUUGAGAAGCAUUGUAUAAGAGUUGUACAUUCAUCAAUCUAUGUGUCACCAAUAACUGUUAGGUGAGGUGGCAUGUAAAUCGGUGGGACCGCAGUACCCACUAGAAACCCUAGUCGUGUGGGAUUUUCGUUUUCCUACCAGAGGAGUGUGAGGAAUUCGAGAAAAUAGUGGGAGUUACAAUUUGUUCUAAA